AGUGAACGCUGGCGGUAGGCCUAACACAUGCAAGUCGAACGGCAGCACAGUAAGAGCUUGCUCUUACGGGUGGCGAGUGGCGGACGGGUGAGGAAUACAUCGGAAUCUACUUUUUCGUGGGGGAUAACGAAGGGAAACUUAAGCUAAUACCGCAUACGACCUACGGGUGAAAGCAGGGGAUCUUCGGACCUUGCGCGAUUGAAUGAGCCGAUGUCGGAUUAGCUAGUUGGCGGGCUAAAGGCCCACCAAGGCGACGAUCCGUAGCUGGUCUGAGAGGAUGAUCGGCCACACUGGAACUGGGACACGGUCCAGACUACUACGGGAGGCAGCAGUGGGGAAUAUUGGACAAUGGGCGCAAGCCUGAUCCAGCCAUACCGCGUGGGUGAAGAAGGCCUUCGGGUUGUAAAGCCCUUUUGUUGGGAAAGAAAAGCAGCAGGUUAAUACCCCGCUGUUCUGACGGUACCCAAAGAAUAAGCACCGGCUAACUUCGUG
rnacentral:rRNA from 1 species